rnacentral:lncRNA from 1 species
GGCUGCAUCAUCUUCAUUGUUAAACUGACAUUUUCCUUUUUUUUUAACAUGAACAAAUUAUCCUGAAAUAUCUAUUAAUUUUCUUCUCUAUUUUGAUGCGGGUCUAGAACUCCUAUUACUUAUGGCCCAAGUAGGCAAAAAAAAAGUCUAUAGAUUUAGAGCAUGUUUCUAGAUGGAUCUAGAACUCAUGUUACUUAUGGCCCCGGCAGACAAUAAAAUGUCUAUAUAUUGGGAGAAAAUUGCUAUUAUGCAUUCGCCCAAAUAUCAUCUUUGAAUUUGUAUUCGCUGUAAGGCUACUCUUAGACUGAGAACAACCUUUAAAAUAGAUUCCAUUCAAUACUAGUAAGUAUGAAGUAAAGACAUUAUACAUAUUAUUGUUAAAAUAUGGACGAAACUACCCUCUCUACUCCUUCACAGGUCACAGCACAACUCCAUCCUCUCCUAGUCCCCGCCGCCUCCACCAGAUUGCGCCGACGCCGCUGUGCCGCCAGAUCCCGCGUCGCUGGGUCGACCGGAUCUCGACACCGCUGUGGGCUCAUGCCUGCUGACGCCGCCGCUGGCUUGUCCCGGUCGCCUCCUCUGCUGCCGGCGCGGGCUGCUUCGUCCCCGCCGCCAUCGGUGCGGGCUCGGUCUCGCCGCUGCUACUUCGUCCCCGCCGCCGCCGAGCUGCCCCAGCCUCAGCUACAUACUCGUUUGCAUUUGUGCUAAUGACUGUAUAAUAGAAUAAUUUUAAAAUUGUCCAAAAA